UCUCCGUUGGUGAACCAGCGGAGGGAUCAUUACUGGAAUCGCAAGAUCCCACAACCCCUGUGAACUUAACUAUAAGCACGUUGCUUCGGCGGGUGUCUCGGAGGGGGUUCUCCCUCCCCGAGACGCUAAACCCGCCGGCAGCCUACUAUACUCUGUCUCUUUGCGUUGGCAUCUCGAGUACAAUCAAACAAGUUAAAACUUUCAACAACGGAUCUCUUGGUUCUG
rnacentral:misc_RNA from 1 species